rnacentral:rRNA from 1 species
CAUGUCUUUUUGAUUAUUAUUUAAGGUUUAAUCUGCUCAAUGAAAAUUUAAAUUGCCGCAGUAUUUUAACUGUGCAAAGGUAGCAUAAUAAUUAGUUUUUUUAUUGGAAGCUGGAAUGAAUGAUUUGACAAGAAAAUUACUGUCUCUUAUUAAUUAUUUCUUGAAAUUUAUUUUUAAGUUAAAAAGCUUAAAUUUUUUUUAUAGACGAGAAGACCCUAUAGAGUUUAAUUUUUUAUUUUUAUAUUAUUAUUAUGUAAUUAAUUAUCUUAUUUUAAAUUAAAAAUUUAAUUGGGGUGAUUAAAAAAUUUAAUUAACUUUUUUAAAUUUUUAUUACUGAUUUGUAAAUUUUUAAUCUAACAAUGUUAAGUUUAAUAUAAAUUACCUUAGGGAUAACAGCGUAAUUUUUUUUUGAAGUUCUUAUUUAAAGAAAAGAUUGCGACCUCGAUGUUGGAUUAAAA